AUACGUAGGGUGCGAGCGUUGUCCGGAAUUACUGGGCGUAAAGAGCUCGUAGGUGGUUUGUCGCGUCGUCUGUGAAAUUCCGGGGCUUAACUCCGGGCGUGCAGGCGAUACGGGCAUAACUUGAGUACUGUAGGGGAGACUGGAAUUCCUGGUGUAGCGGUGAAAUGCGCAGAUAUCAGGAGGAACACCGGUGGCGAAGGCGGGUUUCUGGGCAGUAACUGACGCUGAGGAGCGAAGGCAUGGGUAGCGAACAGGAUUAGAUACCCUGGUAGUCCAGGCCGUAAACGGUGGGCGCUAGGUGUAGGGGUCUUCCACGACUUCUGUGCCGUAGCUAACGCAUUAAGCGCCCCGCCUGGGGAGUACGGCCGCAAGGCUAAAACUCAAAUGAAUUGACGGGG
rnacentral:rRNA from 1 species